rnacentral:snRNA from 1 species
GUCAAAGUGGCAGUAUCGUAGCCAAUGAGGUUAAUCUGAGGCGCUAUUAUUGCUAAUUGAAAACUUUUCAUAGACAGGAUUUCUAUCUGCACUGAUAUUGUUCAGAUCCAAUCAUGGUAAUUUGUUUGAACAG